rnacentral:rRNA from 1 species
UUAGUCCUACGGGGCGCAGCAGUGAGGAAUAUUGGUCAAUGGGCGGAAGCCUGAACCAGCCAAGUCGCGUGAGGGAAUAAGGCCCUACGGGUCGUAAACCUCUUUUGCCGGGGAGCAAGGGCCGGGACGCGUCCCGGCCCGGAGAGUACCCGGAGAAAAAGCAUCGGCUAACUCCGUGCCAGCAGCCGCGGUAAUACGGAGGAUGCGAGCGUUAUCCGGAUUUAUUGGGUUUAAAGGGUGCGUAGGCGGGCUUUUAAGUCAGCGGUAAAAAUUCGGGGCGCAACCCCGCCCGGCCGUUUA